rnacentral:lncRNA from 1 species
CUAAGAUAAAAGCAGACAGAGGAAUGUGGAAGAACUAGACUGGCUGAGUCUUCUGGCCUCAAUCUUUCUCCCUCACUGGAUGAUUCAUGCCUUGAACAUCAGUCUCCAAGUUCUUCAGCUUUUUGAAUCUUGGACUUACACCAGUGGUUUUCCAGGGGCUCUGGAGCCUUUGGCCACAGACUGAAGGCUGCACUGUUGGCUUUUCUACUUUUGAGGUUUUGGGACUCAGACUGUCUUCCUUGCUCCUCAGCUUGCAGAUGGCCUAUUGUGGGACUUCACUUUAUGUCUGUCUCUUCCGGCAUAGCCCUCUAGGAAUUCCAGCUGAGAGCCUGCCAGUAGCCUACCAGGGCUCCUCCCCUUCCAGAUGCUGACCUCUCAUCUUUGUCACUUCCACAUCACAGACUGUCAAUAACUCCUAUAUGCUUUGGAGAAGAUGUCUACUAACUACUUGGCCUCCAGCCUCCACAUAACUCGAGAAUUUGACAAGUGUCUUGAAAGAAAAACUGAUGAUGGGUCAGGAUCAGUCUUCCCUGCUCAGUAGAUCCUUACCCCUCAAGUCUUUCCACUACUACAAGACACCAAAAGCUUUCCUGGUUUCUCUAUCUCCUCUACCUAGAGAAUACCAGGUUCUCAGACAUUAGCUCUAGGUCCAAAAUCAAGCCGGUUUUUCUUUUGCAGGGAAAAACUGGCCGAAUAGUGUUAACUCACUAGUCUUCCCCUUUCUGGAAUCUUGGCAUUUCUAGUUUUGGUUGCCCUAGCAGCUCUCCAAUGCCUUUAAACAGAUGUCUUCUGCUUCUAUUAGGCUUGUUCUUGGCUGAGGCCUUGGUCUGCUGGAAAAUACUGCCACAUACGCAGAAGUAGAAGUCUCUUGAGACAUCAUCUUAUUAGUUAUUUAUUGCCAUGUAACAAAUUACAUGGAAACUUAGUGACUUAAAGAAACAAUAAAAAUUUAUUAUCUCACAUUUUCUGUGCAUCAGAAUUCUGUGGGAUAGGAGCAGCAUAGCAGAUGGUUCUGGCAAAGAAUCUCUCAUAAGGUUGUAGCCCAAUGUUGCCUCGGGCUUGAGAAUGAGCUUCCAAAAGAGUUCACCCUCAUGACUGCCAAGCAGGUGCUGGCUAUUGUAAGAAAGUCUGUCCGUUUUCACACAGGCCUGUUACGAGUAUUUUCAUGACAUGGCAGGUGACUUCACCACAAUAAGGGAAGCAAGAACAGGAAAAAUGGAAGUGUGCAUGUCUUCUAUGACUGAGCCUUAGAAAUUACACUCUUUCCUUUCUGCAAUAUCCUAUUAGUUACGCAGAUCAGUCUUAUUAAAUGUAGAAGAAGAUACACAGAAAACAAACACCAGGGAACAGAAAUCAUUAUCAGUAAGGCCUAUCUAAAAGAAAAUUAUAUUUAAAAUAAAAUUCUUCAUAUAGAUGGAGAAAUUUAAGAAGUUGUUUUGCUGCAGUAAUGAUCAUUACAAAAUAACUACAAAGUUGUGCUUCUAGUGUUGGUUGCAAUUCUGCUCCUAUCUCAUGCACCUUCUUCAUUCAAGGAUCCAGGCUUGAAUAGCAACCUGCAUCUGGAAUAUGCUAUUCUGGUGACAGAGGGAAAUAAGAGCAAGAACCAUAGCACACAAAGGCCCUCAAUUGUUUACUUAGCUAUGGUAUACAUCACUUCUGCCUACAUUUCAU